GGCCCCUUAGCUCAGUGGUUAGAGCAGUCGACUCAUAAUCGAUUGGUCCC
rnacentral:tRNA from 1 species